AUUUAAAAAGUAUAAAUUUGUACGUUUAAUUUCCAAUUAAAAAGUCUAUUAUUUUAGUUUAAAUA
rnacentral:tRNA from 1 species